rnacentral:rRNA from 1 species
CCUACGGGGUGCUGCAGUGGGGGAUAUUGCACAAUGGGGGGAACCCUGAUGCAGCGACGCCGCGUGGGUGAAGAAGCGCCUCGGCGCGUAAAGCCCUGUCAGCAGGGAAGAAAAUGACGGUACCCGAAGAAAAAGCAUCGGCUAACUCCGUGCCAGCAGCCGCGGUAAUACGGGGGAUGCGAGCGUUAUCCGGAUUUAUUGGGUUUAAAGGGUGCGCAGGCGGAUUUUUAAGUCAGCGGUCAAAUCGUGGGGCUAAACCCCAUCCAGCCGUUGAAAAUGGGGAUCUAGAGUGUGCGAGAGGUAUGCGGAAUGCGUGGUGUAGCGGUGAAAUGCAUAGAUAUCACGCAGAACCCCGAUUGCGAAGGCAGCAUACCGGUGCACAACUGACGCUCAGGCACGAAAGCGUGGGUAUCGAACAGGAUUAGAUACCCCUGUAGUC